rnacentral:rRNA from 1 species
GAUGAACGCUGGCGGCGUGCUUAACACAUGCAAGUCGAGCGAAGUAGUUAAGAAGAUUCUUCGGAUGAUUCUUAACUGACUGAGCGGCGGACGGGUGAGUAACGCGUGGGUGACCUGCCCCAUACCGGGGGAUAACAGCUGGAAACGGCUGCUAAUACCGCAUAAGCGCACAGAGCUGCAUGGCUCGGUGUGAAAAACUCCGGUGGUAUGGGAUGGGCCCGCGUCUGAUUAGGCAGUUGGCGGGGUAACGGCCCACCAAACCGACGAUCAGUAGCCGGCCUGAGAGGGCGACCGGCCACAUUGGGACUGAGACACGGCCCAAACUCCUACGGGAGGCAGCAGUGGGGAAUAUUGCACAAUGGGGGAAACCCUGAUGCAGCGACGCCGCGUGAGCGAAGAAGUAUUUCGGUAUGUAAAGCUCUAUCAGCAGGGAAGAUAAUGACGGU